GGCACCAAGAGCCGAUGAAGGACGUGAUAAGCUGCGAAAAGCUAUGGGGAGGAGCAAAUAUCCAUUAUAUCCAUAGAUAUCCGAAUGAGGAAACUCAGCUGGUGGUAAAAGACUAGUUAUCCAUACAUAAGUAAAGUAGUAUAUGUGAAGGGAACGUGGGGAACUGAAACAUCUAAGUACCCACAGGAAAAGAAAGAAAACUCGAUUCCUUGAGUAGUGGCGAGCGAAAGAGGAAGAGCCUAAACCAGAAGAAGUAAUUCAUCUGGGGUAAAGGACUACAUAAUUGAUUCAUGAGAUUUAGCAGAACUGUUUGGGAAAGCAGACCAAAGAUAGUGAAAGUCUAGUAAGCGAAAAAUCAAAUGACAUGGUAGUAUCCAGAGUAGUGCGAGACACGUGUAAUCUCGUAUGAAGAAGUGGGGACCACCCCAUAAGGCUAAAUACUACUUGGUGACCGAUAGUGAAGCAGUACCGUGAGGGAAAGGUGAAAAGAACCCCGGGAGGGGAGUGAAAGAGAACCUGAAACCCUAUGUUUACAAGCAGACAAAGCACGUUAAGGUGCGAUGUCGUACUUUUUGUAGAACGGUCCGGCGAGUUAUUUUAUAUGGCAAGGUUAAGUACUUAAGGUACGAAGCCGAAGAGAAAUCGAGUCUGAAAAGGGCGAAUAAGUCAUAUGAAAUAGACCCGAAACCGGGUGACCUAUCCAUGGUCAGGUUGAAGCUUGAGUAAAAUCAAGUGGAGGACCGAACCCAUAAGCGUUAAAAAGCUUCGGGAUGAACUGUGGAUAGCGGAGAAAUUCCAAUCGAACUCGGAGAUAGCUGGUUCUCCUCGAAAUAGUUUUAGGACUAGCCUUGUUUAGUAGUACGUGGGGGUAGAGCACUGAAUGAGCUAGGGGCCAAACCAGGUUACCGAACUCUAUCAAACUCCGAAUACCAUGUAUGUAAGAACAGGAGUCAGACUGUGGGAGCUAAGUUCCAUGGUCAAAAGGGAAAGAGCCCAGAUCGUCAAUUAAGGUCCCAAAGAUAUAGUUAAGUGGAAAACGAUGUGAUUUUGCGUAAACAACCAGGAUGUUGGCUUAGAAGCAGCCAUGCAUUUAAAGAGUGCGUAAUAGCUCACUGGUCGAGUGAAGUUGCGCGGAAAAUUACCGGGGCUAAACUAUACACCGAAAUUGCGGAUUUAUACGAUAGUAUAAGUGGUAGAGGAGCAUUCUAUAGUAGGACGAAGCAUAAUCGAAAGGAUAUGUGGACGAGAUAGAAGAGAGAAUGCCGGAAUAAGUAGCGAAAGCAUGGUGAGAAUCCAUGCCAUCGAAAGUCUAAGGUUUCCUGGGGAAGGUUCGUCCGCCCAGGGUAAGUCGGGACCUAAGGUGAGGCCGAAAGGCGUAGCCGAUGGACAGCAGGUAGAAAUUCCUGCACCACCGAUAUACUUAAAAAGCACAAGGGACACAGGAGUGGAAGAGAAGCGAGGAAGAGGAAAGACUCGUAUCGAAAGAUAUAGUGAAAAUAAAGUAACGAAUUAUCAAGAAGCACACUGGCGAGAAAAGCUUGUGAGUCUUGUAUAUAGGUGCCCGUACCGCAAACCGACACAGGUAGAUGAGGAGAGGAUCCUAAGAUGAGCGAGAGAAGCAUUGUUAAGGAACUCGGCAAACUAACCCCGUAACUUAGGGAGAAGGGGUACCAUAUGAAAGUAUGGUCGCAGAGAAGAGGCCCAAGCAACUGUUUAACAAAAACACAGGUUUCUGCUAAAUCGAAAGAUGAAGUAUAGGAGCUGACACCUGCCCAGUGCUGGAAGGUUAAGGGGAAAUGUAAGUACUUGAUACGAAGCAUAGAACCAAAGCCCCAGUGAACGGCGGCCGUAACUAUAACGGUCCUAAGGUAGCGAAAUUCCUUGUCAGGUAAGUUCUGACCCGCACGAAAGGUGUAAUGAUUUGGGCGCUGUCUCGACAAUGUACUCGGCGAAAUUGUAGUACUAGUGAAGAUGCUAGUUACCUGCGACAAGACAGAAAGACCCCAUGGAGCUUUACUGUAGCUUGAUACUGGGUUUUGAUAAUUUAUGUACAGGAUAGGUGGGAUACUAAGAAGCAUUUGCGCCAGCAGAUGUGGAGUAGACGUUGGGAUACCACCCUUAAGUUAUUGAAAUUCUAACCAUUCGUCAUAAACUGGCGAGGGGACAAUGUCAGGCGGGCAGUUUGACUGGGGCGGUCGCCUCCAAAAGAGUAAC
rnacentral:rRNA from 1 species